rnacentral:rRNA from 1 species
AUUGAACGCUGGCGGCAGGCCUAACACAUGCAAGUCGAACGGUAACAGGAAACAGCUUGCUGUUUCGCUGACGAGUGGCGGACGGGUGAGUAAUGUCUGGGAAACUGCCUGAUGGAGGGGGAUAACUACUGGAAACGGUAGCUAAUACCGCAUAACGUCGCAAGACCAAAGAGGGGGACCUUCGGGCCUCUUGCCAUCGGAUGUGCCCAGAUGGGAUUAGCUAGUAGGUGGGGUAACGGCUCACCUAGGCGACGAUCCCUAGCUGGUCUGAGAGGAUGACGCGACACACUGGAACUGAGACACGGUCCAGACUCCUACGGGAGGCAGCAGUGGGGAAUAUUGCACAAUGGGCGCAAGCCUGAUGCAGCCAUGCCGCGUGUAUGAAGAAGGCCUUCGGGUUGUAAAGUACUUUCAGCGGGGAGGAAGGGAGUAAAGUUAAUACCUUUACUCAUUGACGUUACCCGCAGAAGAAGCACCGGCUAACUCCGUG